rnacentral:rRNA from 1 species
CACGUAUUCAUUUAUAAUUUUUUAAAAAUAAUAAUUUUAAAAAUUAAAUAUUAAUAAAAUAAUUUUAAUUAAAAAAAUUAAACUAUUAUAAUAAAUUAAUUAAAAAAUUUAUAUAAAACUAGGAUUAGAUACCCUAUUAUUAAAUUUAUUUAAAAAAUUUUAAUAUUAAAACAUAAAAGUCUAAACUAAAAAAUUUGACAGUAUUUUAAUUUAUUAAAGAAAUUUAUUUUAUAAUUGAUAAUCCACAUAAAAAUAUACUUAAAUUUAAUAUUUAAAUAUUACUGUUAAAAUUAAAUUUAAUAAUUUUAAAUUAUAAUUUUUUUUUAAAAAAAAAAUUCAAGUCAAAAUUUAAUAAUAUUUAAGAAAAAAAGAAUUUUAUUAAUUUAAAACAUAAAUUAUUUAAAUUAAAUUUAAAUAAUAAAAAAAAUUUAAAAAUAAAAUAAAAAAAUUUUUUUAUUUGAAAAAUAAAUUAUAAAAUAUAUACAUAUUGCCCGUCAUUCUUAAUUUUAAGACAAGUCGUAACAAAGUAAAAUUACUGGAAAGUAAUAUUAGAAUUU